rnacentral:lncRNA from 1 species
GUGGCACCCUUACAAUAACUUUGGACAAAUCUUAGUCUAUUUUUUCCCUAGAGAGAUUUAGUAACAUUGCAUUAAAACAGUACACGUUUUUUUUUUUUUUUGACGUCAAAAGGUUAUUCUAUUACUCAAACUUGAGGUGGCCUGGGUAACCAGACCGGAAUAGAACAACCAACAAAGGGUAACUCUCUACGGAAAGAUCUAGCAGUCUUAGCUAAAAAAUCUGCAGUCUGAUUAUACGCCUGUGGAACGUAAGUGAUGUUGAAGUCCGG